UACGUAGGUGGCAAGCGUUGUCCGGAUUUACUGGGCGUAAAGCGUGCGCAGGCGGUUGUGCAAGACAGAUGUGAAAUCCCCGGGCUCAACCUGGGAAUUGCAUUUGUGACUGCACGGCUAGAGUGUGUCAGAGGGGGGUAGGAAUUCCACGUGUAGCAGUGAAAUGCGUAGAGAUGUGGAGGAAUACCGAUGGCGAAGGCAGCCCCCUGGGAUAACACUGACGCUCAUGCACGAAAGCGUGGGGAGCAAACAGG
rnacentral:rRNA from 1 species